CCGGCGCGCAACACGAUGGUUGGGUUUGGAUUGUUGUACUUUUUUUUUUGUUCGUUGCAUUUUUAGGAACAAAAAAAAAAGCCCAACCCUUCACACCACUUCAUCCGCAUCUCUGAGGACC
rnacentral:ncRNA from 2 species